UGUUCCGUAACUCUCCGGAAUGGCGAUGGACGACUUCUAAGCAGUAGGUCGCAGGUUCGAAUCCUGCCGGGAUCGCCA
rnacentral:tRNA from 1 species